rnacentral:rRNA from 1 species
UACGGAGGGGGGCUAGCGUUGUUCGGAAUUAUUGGGCGUAAAGCGCUUGUAGGCGGCUUUGUUAAGUUCCGUGUGAAAUCCCCAGGCUUAACCUGGGAAGUGCGCGGAAAACUGGCGAGCUUGAAUGCCGGAGAGGGUCGCGGAAUUCCCGGUGUAGAGGUGAAAUUCGUAGAUAUCGGGGAGGAACACCAGUGGCGAAGGCGGCGACC